rnacentral:rRNA from 1 species
AUACGGAGGGUGCAAGCGUUAUUCGGAAUCACUGGGCGUAAAGGACGCGUAGGCGGGAAGCCAAGUCUGAUGUGAAAUCCUAUGGCUCAACCAUAGAACUGCAUUGGAAACUGGUUACCUAGAGUAUGGGAGGGGGAGAUGGAAUUAGUGGUGUAGGGGUAAAAUCCGUAGAUAUCACUAGGAAUACCGAAAGCGAAGGCGAUCUCCUGGAACAAUACUGACGCUAAGGCGUGAAAGCGUGGGGAGCAAACGGGAUUAGAUACCCUUGUAGUCC